rnacentral:misc_RNA from 1 species
GCAAACUUGGUCAUUUAGAGGAAGUAAAAGUCGUAACAAGGUUUCCGUAGGUGAACCUGCGGAAGGAUCAUCAAAAGAGGGGGAUCCACUGUAUGGUGGGUCUCCACCAAUCUUGUGUGAACCGUAAAGCGAUCACUGCGAGGAGGCUGUUGGCGGGAGAGCACUCUCUCGCCAGCCGCCUCCACGCAGCAUUAUACCCUUUACCACUCUUGCCUAACAUUCCACACACUAAAUUACACAACUUUUAACAAUGGAUCUCUUGGCUCUCGCAUCGAUGAAGAACGCAGC